rnacentral:rRNA from 1 species
UACGAAGGGGGCUAGCGUUGUUCGGAAUUACUGGGCGUAAAGCGCACGUAGGCGGGUCUGUAAGUAGGGGGUGAAAUCCCAGGGCUCAACCCUGGAACUGCCUUUGAUACUGUCGAUCUGGAGUAUGGAAGAGGUGAGUGGAAUUCCGAGUGUAGAGGUGAAAUUCGUAGAUAUUCGGAGGAACACCAGUGGCGAAGGCGGCUCACUGGUCCAUUACUGACGCUGAGGUGCGAAAGCGUGGGGAGCAAACAGG